rnacentral:sRNA from 1 species
UUCUAGCGCGUGCUGAGCGUCAUCGUUCG